rnacentral:ncRNA from 1 species
CCGAAAUGCGUUGAGGCGCGGCAGUUGACUGGACAUCUAGGGGUAAAGCACUGUUUCGUUGCGGGUUGCACGAGCGGUACCAAAUCGAGGCAAACUCUGAAUACUAGAUAUGACCCAAAAAUAACAGGGGUCAAGGUCGGCCAGUGAGAUGAUGGGGGAUAAGCUUCAUCAUCAAGAGGGAAACAGCCCGGAUCACCAACUAAGGACCCUAAAUGACCGCUCAGUGAUAAAGGAGGUGGGGUGCAAAGUCAUACAUGGAUCCUAUCUCAGAGUUCAUGGCCUCAAGCCAUUUAUCAAAAUCUAGGCUCAUCAUAGCUUCUUCAUAAUUUGUAGG